UAAGACGAACCGUGCGAACGUUGUUCGGAAUCACUGGGCUUAAAGGGCGCGUAGGCGGGCUGCCGCGUCCGGGGUGAAAUCCCACGGCUCAACCGUGGAACUGCCUCGGAUACGGGCGGUCUUGAGGGGGGUAGGGGCACGCGGAACUGUGGGUGGAGCGGUGAAAUGCGUUGAUAUCCACAGGAACUCCGGUGGCGAAGGCGGCGUGCUGGACCCCAUCUGACGCUGAGGCGCGAAAGCCAGGGGAGCAAACGGGAUUAGAUACCCCGGUAGUCCUGGCCCUAAACGUUGGGUACUAGGUAGUAGACCAGACAUGGGUUUACUGCCGGAGCAAAAGUGCUAAGUACCCCGCCUGGGGAGUAUGGUCGCAAGGCUG
rnacentral:rRNA from 1 species